rnacentral:lncRNA from 1 species
UGGGGGUCAAUCUUUGUAGGCUUCACGUCUUCGAUCAGGAUGAAAUUACCUCCAACAUUAGCCCCUUACUCUCGAGUCCAAAUCAGAAUUGGAUCGAAUGAAGGGGGCAUUUUAGCUUUAUCGAAGACGUGCUAUUUCUAUAACUAUCACUGAGGUGAGGGGUUAUAUCAUCUCGAUGUUUGCAACUUUAUAGUCGUCAAGAUCU